rnacentral:lncRNA from 1 species
CUUUCACUACCCAUCCUGUUUCUUCUGUGUGCACGUUAAUACUCCUGGGCAUCCUCGGAGUUUUAUCGCCAGGAAGAGUUUGAGUCCCUGCCCUGAGUAUUUACUUAUAUCUCCCUAAUCCUGCCCCAGACCCCAAUUCCAGAGGACAACAGUCCUAGGACACUCACAGGAACACUUUUCCUACCACCCACCAAUCUGAUCUAGACAUCCCAGAUGGGAAUAUUUUUGGCUCAAGUUCAUUUUCAUCCAUGCAAAAGAUAAGGAUAUUUUAUAUUUGCAUUAUAUUCCUACUCUUCAUCUAUGAAUUCAGUAUUAGAAAAACUUCUUCAUUCAUUAAAUCAACAAAUAUUUUUUGAACACCUGCCAUGUGUCAGAUGCUAGGCAGGUGGAUGUCACAAUGGUAUAGAGAGACCAAAUUUCUGCCUGUCUUCACAGAGUUUACAGGCUAUGGUUCUGUGAUCACCGUUAUCAUUUUCAUCAUAGGUUUAUUGAAACAAGAGGCCAGAAGAACUUACAUCUCAUCCAGUUCCUUCCCCAAGACCUGUGGUGCCCUCAGGUCAUCUCCUGCCCUGAACCUAACCUGCCUGGAACCUAUUGGUUGAGGGAAGCAGCAGGCACCAUCCCCUUGUUCGUCACUGUCUUGAGAAGCUCUUCUCCACAACUUUUCCACCAUUCCAUGCCUGGGUUAUGAGUUGCCCUCCCAUUGUCUGCUUAGCCUGGGACUCUGAAGGAUGUACUGGGGAAAGGCCAAUGCACACACUUAAAAUGGAAGCAAAAAUGCCAAUGUCCUUGAAGAGGCCAGAACACCCUCGCUGUAACUUGCUGAGUUCCCUAGCCUAAUAUUCCUCUCUUGCCACCCGGAGUAGAACGACUGUUCUCUGAGGGUCCUUGGAUUGUUCCCAGUGUGAGCUUCCAGCUUGAGCCAAACUUGCGCACACUUCUGGCCUUCAGUUUGUCUAGGAAUCUCUGCUGACUUGGAGGGGCAACUUGCCAGAAGCCCUUCUUCACCAGGGUCCUAGAACCCACCU